CCAAUCAAAUAUGGACUGAAACCUCUACACAUUGUACUAUUGUAUGAUUAACUCCCUGCUUGCAGAAUUUCUCAAAAGAUACUUCUUGUGUGUCCUUAAAAAUCAUCACAGUUGGGUUUGAGCUUCAGCCUGACACAGAGCCUUCCAGCUUGACAAGCCCACCUCCGAGUCACAGCUGCUGCUCAUUGGCUCAGCGCCCUGUGAUGAUCAAGUAUGCCGCUCCCGGGGCUGGAGGCUGAGCUCUCCGUGUCCUGCGUGAGUUCCCCUCCACCCCUGACCAGGAGAGGCACAGAGCAGGGAGGAACCCUUGUUUGGUAAAGUGAGUGAUAAUUCAGGAUGCUUUAUAUGAGUUUGGAGAUUAAUAACUGUCUAGUUUCUUUAAUAUGUAUUAUCAUGUUUAAUGAUCAUGGUCAUUAUCAGAAAUAAAAGCAUAAUUCUGAAGAAUUUAUCAAUGCAUUGUGCUCGAGAUGAGACAAAUUAAAAUAAGCAGAAAUUGCAGAGCUUGUAUCUGACUUCCCCUUUUAUAUAAUUUAUUACACCA